AACUCUUGACUUCUUAUAAAGCUGGGAGGGUGCAGCUCCUGACUGAGUUCCCAGCACCUGCGGAGCUUGGCAGCGCCUUGGGACACUGUGAAGCUGCAGCAAAUUACACCAGCUCAGUACUGGGACUCUUUGUAUGCAGUCAUCUUGGAAACUUCUCCUGACUUUGAGAAUAUUUUGGUAACCAGCUAUGCUGAAGUAAAUUCAAUUGACACAGUGCUCUUGGCUAAAUGUGAGGUGGAGAAAGUCAGCAGUGUCAACUACAGAAACCUUUCAAGGCUGCAGAAUCAUUGCACUGUGCUCUAUCAUCUAUCUCAUCUUGGAUCCAUUUUCCUAUUGCUCUAAAGGAAAGGAAGGAAUAUGGAAGGGGAGGUUGCAGUGCUUUGUGCACAGGCCCAAUAUGCCAACACAUUAUGGAAAUGAAAACUGAUAGGUUUUCAGCCCCCAGCAGAAUUUGAAGCUUCGUUAUGCCAAGCAAUGAGUCUGUACCUAGCCUCAUCAUCUGCGGUGGAAGGGUCUGCAGUGCGCAGUCGAUGUGUGGACAUCCACGCGAUGCAAUUUGUUGUGUAUAUUCACUGGCAAGAAAACAUGUUUUCCAAGACCAAUUUGA